GAUGAACGCUGGCGGCGUGCCUAAUACAUGCAAGUCGAGCGAACAGACGAGGAGCUUGUUCCUCUGACGUUAGCGGCGGACGGGUGAGUAACACGUGUAUAACCUACCUAUAAGACGGGGAUAACUUCGGGAAACCGGAGCUAAUACCGGAUAAUAUAUUGAACCGCAUGGUUCAAUAGUGAAAGACGGCUUUGCUGUCACUUAUAGAUGGAUCCGCGCCGCAUUAGCUAGUUGGUAAGGUAACGGCUUGCCAAGGCAACUAUGCGUAGCCGACCUGAGGGGGUGGUCGGCCGCACUGGAGCUGAGACACGGUCCAGACUCCUACGGGAGGCAGCAGUAGGGAAUCUUCCGCAAUGGGGGAGAGCUUGACGGAGCAACGCCGCGUGAGUGACGAAGGUCUUCGGAUCGUAAAGCUCUGUUAUUAGGGAAGAACAAAUGUGUAAGUAACUGUGCCCGUCUUGACGGUACCUGGUCAGAAAGCCCCGGCUAACUACGUG
rnacentral:rRNA from 1 species